rnacentral:misc_RNA from 1 species
CUUAAGGGCUAUGUUGAGGACACAAGAGCAAUACUUAUGGAUAAUAACUGGUCAGUCCAGACAACAGUUUGCUGGGGACAAAGAGACCGCUGGUUAAGCUUUGAUGGUGUAGAAGAUUUCUGCAAGGAAUCAAAGCAUCGACUAGUUGAACUUCCUAUGUCAGGACAUCACGUUCAGGAGGAUAGUGGUGAAGAAUUAGGUCAACUCAUUGCUGGAAUUGUUGGAAAGAGAAGCAGUUUGUGAUUGUCAUAAGAUCUAAUCUAUGGGUUAAAUGGG